rnacentral:lncRNA from 1 species
UAAUCUUUGACCAUAUUGCAAAUUAGAAACUUUGGCCUUAUGCCAUUACAUUUUCAAACUCCUUUUCUUAAUCAAACUUGUGAAUAAACUUAACUAUACUCGACUUAAAAUUUCAAAAGCCAAAAAGAAUUAACACUCAUUCAAACCAUUUUCAGGCCCUUAUGCCUUUUAAACUUAAAUAUUUGUUAAAAACAAUGCACUCACUUUGAAAUUGUUACCACGAACUACGAGGUUUUG